rnacentral:rRNA from 1 species
GAUGAACGCUGGCGGCGUGCCUAAUACAUGCAAGUCGAGCGAACAGACGAGGAGCUUGCUCCUCUGACGUUAGCGGCGGACGGGUGAGUAACACGUGGAUAACCUACCUAUAAGACUGGGAUAACUUCGGGAAACCGGAGCUAAUACCGGAUAAUAUAUUGAACCGCAUGGUUCAAUAGUGAAAGACGGUUUUGCUGUCACUUAUAGAUGGAUCCGCGCCGCAUUAGCUAGUUGGUAAGGUAACGGCUUACCAAGGCAACGAUGCGUAGCCGACCUGAGAGGGUGAUAGGCCACACUGGAACUGAGACACGGUCCAGACUCCUACGGGAGGCAGCAGUAGGGAAUCUUCCGCAAUGGGCGAAAGCCUGACGGAGCAACGCCGCGUGAGUGGUGAAGGUCUUCGGAUCGUAAAACUCUGUUAUUAGGGAAGAACAAAUGUGUAAGUAACUAUGCACGUCUUGACGGUACCUAAUCAGAAAGCCACGGCUAACUACGUG